rnacentral:rRNA from 1 species
GAUGAACGCUGGCGGCGUGCCUAAUACAUGCAAGUCGAGCGAACAGAUGAGAAGCUUGCUUCUCUGAUGUUAGCGGCGGACGGGUGAGUAACACGUGGGUAACCUACCUAUAAGACUGGGAUAACUCCGGGAAACCGGGGCUAACACCGGAUAAUAUUUUGAACCGCAUGGUUCAAUAGUGAAAGACGGUUUCGGCUGUCACUUAUAGAUGGACCCGCGCCGUAUUAGCUAGUUGGUAAGGUAACGGCUUACCAAGGCGACGAUACGUAGCCGACCUGGGAGGGUGAUCGGCCACACUGGAACUGAGACACGGUCCAGACUCCUACGGGAGGCAGCAGUAGGGAAUCUUCCGCAAUGGGCGGAAGCCUGACGGAGCAACGCCGCGUGAGUGAUGAAGGUCUUCGGAUCGUAAAACUCUGUUGUUAGGGAAGAAUAAAUUUGUUAGUAACUGAACAAGUCUUGACGGUACCUAACCAGAAAGCCACGGCUAACUACGUGCCAGCCGCCGCCGUAA